UGCCAGCCGCCGCGGUAAUACGGAGGGUGCAAGCGUUAAUCGGAAUUACUGGGCGUAAAGCGCGCGUAGGCGGCUAUUUAAGUCGGAUGUGAAAUCCCCGGGCUCAACCUGGGAACUGCAUACGAUACUGGGUAGCUAGAGUAUGUUAGAGGUCAGCGGAAUGUGGCAUGUAGCGGUGAAAUGCAUAGAUAUGCCAUAGAACACCAAUUGCGAAGGCAGCUGGCUAGGCGUAUAUACGCUGAGGCACGAAAGCGUGGGUAGCGAACAGGAUUAGAUA
rnacentral:rRNA from 1 species